rnacentral:rRNA from 1 species
UACGUAGGGGGCAAGCGUUGUCCGGAAUUAUUGGGCGUAAAGAGCUCGUAGGCGGUGUGUCGCGUCGGCCGUGAAAACUUGGGGCUUAACUCUGAGCGUGCGGUCGAUACGGGCAUCACUUGAGUUCGGCAGGGGAGACUGGAAUUCCUGGUGUAGCGGUGAAAUGCGCAGAUAUCAGGAGGAACACCGGUGGCGAAGGCGGGUCUCUGGGCCGAUACUGACGCUGAGGAGCGAAAGCAUGGGGAGCGAACAGG